AUGUUCAGGAUCCACCAGAGACCCAGGAAGGCGCUGGAAUUUGUCACAGGGAUCAGCAGCGAUCGUGGAGACACCGAGUACACGCUGGGACCUCAGCACCUGGAGCUGCAUCCGGAACCUCAGCCCCUUCAGGAAGUCCGGGCGGCCGUGACCCUGCUGGAGUCCGGGGGGGACCUCCAGCCCCCCGGGGGGUCCCUGCGCCUCCUCUGCCGUGGGACUGGAUUUGAUUUUGGGAAUUUUGCGAUGUUCUGGAUCCGCCAGAAACCCGGGAAGGGGCUGGAAUUCGUCGCGAGCAUCUACGGUGAUGGUGGCACCACCAACUACGCGCCGUCCGUGCGUGGCCGGUUCAGGAUCUCCAAGGACAACGGGCAGAGCUCGGUGACGCUGAGCAUGAACAACCUCCAGGACGAGGAUUCCGGGGUUUAUUUCUGUGCCAAACGUUUCGAGGAUGGUUUUGCUGCUGUUGCUGCUCGUGUUGGUUUCCCCUCCCUUGGGCCGGGACCCUUGGCCAGAAAAUCCCUCUGGCCCCAAACCUGUCCCCGGCACCAAACCUGCGCCAGCGGCACCAAAUCCUGA